UUUCUUGCCAGUAUCGAUACUUUUCUUCAAAACCCUGGUAUCGACAGUAUCGAGUAUUUGGUAUCGAUAUCGGCCCAUCCCUACUGGUUGACUGCUGCCGGUUUACGAAUCUACGGUUUUGCGAAGAAGCUUCGAAGUUUGGGCUGAGGGCCUUUCGUUAUUUUAUUACCGCAUUCAACAUGCCAGUCAAAGUGCACGUUGUCUACUGGUAAGGAAUACAGCUAAACAAUUUAUCUUGCAGUAUUGUGAAAGCAUGUUUUAAUUGAUACUUUUUCAGUGUGCAAUUGUCACAAUUUCACAACUGCCCUUACGUAAAUAGACCUUUAGAAAUCAAGCUAUUGUUGUUAAGCACAAGAGUUUAUGCUGCGGGGAAUUUAAAAUAGCUUCUAAUCGUAUGAAGGAGCAAAUUAACUGUAUAAAAAAUUGCGAAAUGAAUGUCUCGACCAGUUAACGUUCCAUGCCUGCGCAUACUCGCCCCCCCCCCCCCCCCCCCCNNNNNNNNNNNNNNNNNNNNCCCAGCAUUUUUAGGCAUUUGACAAUUGGGGGCGAAAAGUGUUGCAAAUGUGAAAUGCCCCAAAUAAUGAUGCAAAACCCCUACCCUUGGAGACUUCAACUGAUGCAAAUGCCCUUUAUACCAGAGUGCAUUCCAUGCACGUUUUGUGGAAGAUCUUCGGCGUGAGUUUUGAAUUGUUGGCGCACAAUCACGUCGAGGUUGGCGCACAAUUUUUGAGUUUUGGUGGUUGGCGCAGCAUCAAAUGUUUAAGCGAGACUUUGAGUAUUAAUAAUCGCCUGGUGAUUGGAUUGGCCUCUAUAAUUCUUUAGGGACUCGAGAAAUUUGUGUUCCUGGUCAGUGUAAUAUUACUAAAUGGUGGUUUAAUAAUUAACUUGUGAUACAACAGUAACAACACUCAUAAUUGCUCAGCAAAACAUCUUAUUCAUCAAUUACACACCUUUUUAGCAAGUUUUAAUUUUGAAAAACUUAUAACUAUUAAUGAAAAAUCACGGUGCGCACGAUCAGCCGGUACACAAGUUGACCUCACUUGGCGUACGGCAACACUACCUCAGAUUGGCCACCCUGGCCUUUAUAGCAAUUGCCAAAUUACUGUAACUGUUAAAAAAAUCUCUAGUUCACUGCAUGUUUCCAUUAAAAGUUCUGACCACUGAUCUAAUAACAGUGGUUCUGACAAAUAAGAUAUGCUGUAUCUCUCAUUCCCAAAUUUUAUCAUGUACAUGUAACGAAAAGUACUGUACUUAACAUAAUAAAAGAUUUCACCAUUUUGUUUGUGAAAAUUGGGAAAUGCAGCAGAACCUAUAUAAACUGCAAUAGUUAAGCUUACUAGUUGUAUUGCUGCAUCAGCAACUACAACCUCCAAAAGUAUGUCUUGGACCAUCAUGGAAUUGAUCGAAACAUAAUAAUUAGUAAUAUCAUCAGUUCGAAUAAAAAUGGUUGAACUGACAACACAGCAAUGAGUUUUUACUGUUUUACAUGCUACGUGUGAAAUUAGUCAGCACAUAAUUCAUAUAUUGGACAAAACCAAAUUAAAGUUUUAUAAAAUAAGCACCUGUGGGUUCAGCAUAGUCACUCAGAGCACUGUGCAUUCACAUUCCAACAAUAACUUGAUUUCUAAAAGUCCCAUUUUUUAUACACCCUGUAUAUAAAGGCCCAGGUCAAACGUUGCUCUUCUCGUGGGCCAAACCUAAUAGCUGUAUUGAUUGCUACACCAGAGUGGUCAUUUCAUUAGGCUAAGUUCAGAGAAUGGAUUAGGUGCGACCAUUUGGAGUGAUGUUGGAACGGCAGCUCUUGUCACGCUAAUUGUAACUUGUAGUGCUGCAUGAUGCUUCAGCUAACACAGUUCCUCUUCAUUUAGUUUUAUACAUGGUAAAAUUUAUUUUCACAUGUUUAUUCAGUUGCAUACAGCACACUGCUAGGGACCAGUCAUUUUGUUGGUAAAAAUAUUUGUUACUGAUCCAACCAUUAAAAAGGCAAAGAAUUUUGCCCAACCCAACCUCAAAUAACAAUUAAAAAAUACCAACCCUAUUUUUUUCUGCCGACCCUAUUAUUUUUUCUAGGGGUGCACCGGAUUUGGAAUUUUCAAACCCGGCCGGAACCGGAUUUGGACAAAAUGGUGGUUUAUGUUUUUUUAAAUCAAACACAAACCUUUUUUAAAUAUCAUUUUGUUAAUAACUUAAUAUUUUAUAAUAAUAUAAAUGCUUUUUAAACUUUAAAGCUGCCAAAUUGAUGGUUUAUUCCAUUCUUGGUGAAUUUUUUAAGGUGAAAACAGAAAUAAAUCCGGCCGGAUUUUCUCCAAAUCCGGCCGGAUGCCAGAAAAUUUGUUAUUAAAAAAAAUUAUUUCCAACCUACCGACCCUAAUUUUUUCGAGAUAUAAAACCGGAACCACAGGUAUUUUUUUAUGCCUAAUUACCCAACCUUUUACUCAAAAUUUUGUUUAUCCAACCCUUUCUCUUCAGUGCACCCCCCCCCCCCCCCCCCGGCCAUAAAUAACAACUGGUCCCUAAUCAUGUCAACCAGGCCGACUCUAAGCUCAAGUUGUAAUAUAAUUCCUUUCUUUGGCCAAAAAGUUAUAUAACUCUUUUAUUUUGUUUGUUGCAGUGGUGCCUGAGGGUGGAAGCCCAAGGUGAGAUAUCAUUAUUUUUCAGAAGUUUGUAUAGUGCUGUAGUUAUAGUUAACAGUGCUGUAAGUAACUUUGUUACAUUAGUAACAAAAUUCCAAGUAAUUGUUGUGUUUUCGGGUAACAGUAACAGUCUGUUGUGUUUUUGUUUUUGUCACAAACAUGAUUAUUCAUUGCCUGAGUUAGACACGAUCAUUGCUUGAUUAUUAACAAGCUCGUAUUUAUAUACGAAAUACACGGUUCAUGCCAUGAGACAUUCUUAGUUUAUUAAGCCGAUACACGCACGCAGUUCCGAUCUCCAAGUACACUUGCUCCAUUUAAAAACCAGGAGAAUUUUUCUCUUAAUGAUAUUCUGAACUGGAAUCCAUUUUAAUUAUAAAAAAUAACCGUAUAGAUAGUGUACGUGGGGGGGUGUAACAGAUGCCUCCAGAGUCAGAAUGACUAACAUUGUUAAUAUUUUUUUAUUUCAGUACGAUCGGCUAGCUGCUGAUCUAGUUGAUGAAUUUGGCAGUGAUGUGGAGUGUGUAAGUACUGUGUAUAAUUAUAUUGGUGUAUUAACAAUUCCUAGUUAAUAUAGGCAUGUGCUAAUAUUUCCGAAACCUGCCAUGUAAAUGCUUUCCAACAUACUGUACAGGUGGUAAAAUGUACAUGCAUGUUGCCCCCCAUAAAAGAUGGUGUAUCCUAUUCUCAAACUCAUUUAAUAGUUCAUGAAGGAAAUUCAAAAGAAAUGCAUAUUAAUUAUGUAUUUAGAAAUAAGAGGAAGAUUACAGCCGUUUUUCGUCAAAUUUAAACUCGAUUUUCUCUUGAAGUAUUGAUUCGUUUAAGAAGCUAUAUCCAACACUCGCAAAUGUUCUUCCUCUGAUUUCUAAAGCUGGUUAAAAAAACUCGGCUUCACCUCAUCUUUUCAACCUGCUUGUCUGUAUUUAGAAAUCAGAGGAAGAACACUGACUCAUGUUGGAUAUAGUACUUCUUUGUCACCAUAAGUAAAGAAAGUCUUAAGUUAACAAAAGUUAUGUUUUUUAAAUUACUUAUUUAGUAUUGUGUAUGUGUGAAUAAUUGUGAUUUCAAGAAUUGGAUAAAAUAGGUACAUUCAGCGAGUUUUUACUCAAAAUUCAGGACGACAGACUUGAAGCAGAAAUACAGUAUGUCAAAUCGCGCUACAAUGCUCUGAUAUCCCCUAACUUUUACUUAAUUAUUAGUCACAAAAGUGGAAUGGCUGCAAUAGCUAUUAGCUAAUGUACGUAAUUAGUUCAUGUGCGCAGAAUGUAAUUCAGUUAAAGUUAAGUAUUUUUAUAAUAACGAAGGUAUGCUCCUAAAGCUAUAUUGGUAAAGCUAUAUUGUAAUCUUUCCACAAAAUAUGAUGCAAACGCUGUUUUUUCUUGGCUAUACCUGGAUUUGUAAGCCAGCGGUCUGAAGAGUUUGAUUUUCUUCUCCGAUGUGCAAAUCUGCAGGGCGCGAUAAUUCGAGAUUUUUUGUCGUACCUGACUGGCACUUCAAUAAACUAUUGCCUCGUAUUUGAUCUGGUACAAACGUAAGACUGAAGGUGUACUUACUCUUUGAAAAGAUGUACAUAAAGUACACGUUUCUAAAAGGUAUUCAUUCAGUGACCUAAAACUACAACUUAGAACGACAACUUAGACUGGAAUUGGCUUCAACAUUCCUCAGUCCCAUUAGUCCUGCGGUCAUGUUUCAUGCCAAGACAUGUCAGACGUACCUGUAUACCGUUACGUAUACGGAUUUGAAUACCUUGGGCUUGGUAAGGUCCUAUGGUACCAAGCGAAAUGCAAGUACGCAGGUAGCAAGAGUUCCGCGUACCUACGUGGUAUACUUGGUUGAAAACAAAGAAGUACCAGACCGUAAUAUUGGCACCAGUACCUCCGGUAAGCAUAAGUACGCGAUUUAUCGCACCCCGAACUGCCUAAAGGUCCAGACACACCGGACGCGACCCGAUUUUUCGAUUUUCACUGACCGAUAACUUUGAUCCUGGUUUAAAUUUUCAAAAUAUUUAGAAGCGCUAUAACAUUUUGAGUUAUUUGGUCUACAUAUCUUUUAAAAUUUGCUCUCAUUGGCUGUUUCAUUAACUUUCAAAAACUAAAAAAUCGCGUCGCGUUGUCGAAUCGCGUCCGGUGUGUCUGGACCUUAAAAGUCCUAUCACAUGCACGUGUGAACGUGCAAAAAUUUGCUGCAUCACAUCAGUCGGUUCCUCCCGAUUCAUUCACCACUUUGGGCAGUUCAUUUCUGGAUGACUAAUGGAAAGUAAAAUCGCAUGAUAUAGAAGUAAUUCAACGAUAUUAUUAUUAGUAAAUUUUGAGCAAAAACUCUCUAAAGACUAAACGUAACUAUUUUUCUAAUCCUUGACUUGAAAUCACAAUUCUUAUUCACACAUGCACAAAACAAGUAAAUUCAAAAACAUAUAACUUUUGUUAAGACUUUCUUUUCUUAUGGCUACAAAAAACAGGAUAUACCAUUUUCAUUGGAGGGGUGGGGACUUUUUAAUGUCCACUCCCUGUAGGCUUUUCAACAAAGGAUUGAUCAUGAAGGCCUUUUCGCCAGGAUAGCCAUUGUAACAAUAUCAAGAAUGCAAUAGCAAUAUGGCGGAUUAGAAAAGUAAGAGAACAUACUGCUUGAAAUAAAUACAAAUAUAAUAAUGUCAAACACAGAUAAACACUAUUUAUAAACGUCUUCCUUAACAAUUAAGAGGAGAUUUUUUGUAUGUUACGUAACACGUGCUCAAAACUAAUGCGUAUAAUAUACCACUUGAGGUUAUGACUAACUUCAAAAUUUUAGUUUUUCGAUACGUUUCUCAAUUGAUAAUUGUAUUUUAAUUAACAAUUUUUAACUAUUAUUUUAUGUUUCUCAACCGGCAGAUGCAUUUAAAAAGGUUGCUAACUCUAUAAACUACACUCUAAAAACACUCUGGUUAAAUUCAACCAGGAAUUGGGUUAAUAAUCCACCCAACACAUUCUGGUUAAAUUUAACCCAUUUCCUGGUUAAAAAUUAUCAAUUCAACAAAAAUUUGGUACACUUUUUUGGACUUUUAACCAGGAAAAUGGUUAAUUUUUUUUAACCAGAUUUGUGUAGGUGGAUUUUUAACCCCGUACUGGUUGAAUUAACCCAAAUUUAACCAGAGUGUUUUUAGAGUGUAGAGAAUGAAGCUAAAACAAAGUAAUUUUGAGAGGAACGCCAAAGAGAUUUUAGGUUUGAAACACUUUAAUUUCAUUGCAAAUACGUGACAUUGAAAAAAAGCACUCUUAAUGGUUAAGAUUUAAACCAAGCGAAGCAGCGAUAAAAACGAAUCGCAAGUCCUUGACGUUGAAUAACGUCAAAGAGUUGAAAGUUCAGCAGGAGAGUUUUCGGUCAGUGCUUUUCUGUGCAUUCUCAUUUUUAAGUAAGUGAAUUGUAGACUCGUUUGUAUGUUACAAAGCGUGCCGCCAUUUUGUUUUUUAAAAUUUUAAAUCAUUAAUUGCACUCCUGGUGAGUGGUGAGUGCAAUUAAUGAAAAAUUACACUCCUCUUAAACAAUCAAAUUGCAGUAAUUUUGUCAUAUAUAAUAAUAAACCUCGAAAGAAAAAACUUCAAAUCAUAAUUUUGUUUACCAUGCAAAAGGUCCUUUGCGGCCAGCCCAAGAAAAAUGCUGUUCCGUUUGUCUUCUUUAGUUUAUAAAUCUCACAGGUCUUUAUCCUUUUCAAACAAGUAUUGUUCUCAACUAUUUUUAUUAAACCAUCAGGUUUACCCCAUUCAAUGUCUGAGUGUGUUUAAUUUAAAAAGGAUUUUUUUAUUAGAGCGGAGAAGGGACCCCAACAAUUACUGGAUGGUUUGAAGUGAAUGUUGAUGGAAAACUUGUUCAUUCGAAAAAG
rnacentral:lncRNA from 1 species